CUAUGGGGUGGUUAUGGGGUGGCUAUGGGUCCCAUGGGGUGGUUAUGGGGUGGCUGUGGGGUGGUUAUGGGUCCCAUGGGGGGGUUAUGGGGUGGUUAUGGGUCCCAUGGGGGGGUUAUGGGGUAGCUAUGGGUCCCAUAUAGGUCCUAUGGGGUGGCUAUGGGUUCCAUGGGGGUUAUGGGGUGGCUAUGGGUCCCAUAUAGGUCCUAUGGGGUGGCUGUGGGUCCCAUGGGGGGGUUAUGGGGUGGCUGUGGGUCCUAUGGGGUGGCUGUGGGUCCCAUGGGGGGUUAUGGGUCCCAUGGGGUGGUUAUGGGGUGGCUGUGGGUCCCAUGGGGGGGUUGUGGGUCCCAUGGGGGGGUUAUGGGGUGGCUAUGGGUCCCAUAUGGGUCCCAUGGGGUGGCUAUGGGUCCCAUAUGGGUCCUAUGGGAUGGCUAUGGGUCCUAUGGGGUGGCUGUGGGUCCCAUGGGGUGGUUCUGGGUCUCAUAGGUGGGUUAUGGUUCCCAUAUGGGUCCUAUGGGGUGGCUGUGGGUCCCAUGGGGGGGUUAUGGGUCCCAUAUGGGUCCCAUGGGGGUUAUGGGUCCCAUGGGGGGGUUAUGGGGUCUCCCCCCCCCCGUGGUUCUGACCCCCCCCCCUUUAUCAGCCCAAUGACCCUGUCACCAACAUCUGCCAUGCUGCUGACAAGCAGCUCUUCACCCUCGUCGAGUGGGCCAAGAGGAUCCCCAGGUUCUCAGCGCUGCCAUUGGACGACCAGGUCAUCCUGCUCAGGGCCGGGUUCUGACGGAGCUGGUGUCGAAGAUGCGGGACAUGAGGAUGGACAAGACGGAGCUGGGCUGCCUCAGGGCCAUCAUCCUCUUUAACCCAGGUACAUAUAGGGCCAUAUAGGGCCAUAUAGGGCCAUAUAGGGUCUUAUAGGGUCCUUAUGGGGUUAUGGGGUCACUAUGGGGCUAUGGGGUCUCUAUGGGGUUCUAUAGGGUCCUUAUGGGGUUAUGGGGACAAGACGGAGCUGGGCUGCCUCAGGGCCAUCAUCCUCUUUAACCCAGGUACAUAUAGGGCCAUAUAGGAUCCUAUAGGGUCUUAUAGGGCCAUAUAGGGUCCUUAUGGGGUUAUGGGGUCCUUAUGGUGUCACUAUGGGGUCCUUAUGGGGUUAUAGGGUCUCUAUGGGGUCCUAUAGGGUCCUUAUGGGGUUAUGGGGUCCUAUAGGGUCCUUAUGGGGUUAUGGGGUCCUAUAGGGUCCUUAUGGGGUUCUUAUGGGGUUAUGGGGUCCCUAUGGGGUCCUUAUAGGGUUAUGGGGUCCCUAUGGGGUCCUUAUGGGGUCACUAUGGGGUCACUAUGGGGUCCUUAUGGGGUUAUGGGGUCACUAUGGGGUCCUUAUGGGGUCCUUAUGGGGUUAUGGGGUCCCUAUGGGGUCCUUAUGGGGUCCUUAUGGGGUCCUUAUAGGGUUAUGGGGUCACUAUGGGGUCCCUAUGGGGUCACUAUGGGGUCCUUAUAGGGUUAUGGGGUCCCUAUGGGGUCCUUAUGGGGUCCUUAUAGGGUUAUAGGGUCACUAUGGGGUCCCUAUGGGGUCCUUAUGGGGUUAUGGGGUCUCUAUGGGGUCCUUAUGGGGUCCUUAUGGGGUUAUGGGGUCACUAUGGGGUCUCCAUGGGGUCCUUAUAGGGUUAUAGGGUCCCUAUGGGGUCCCUAUGGUGUCCCUAUGGGGUCCUUAUGGGUUUAUGGGGUCACUAUGGGGUCCCUAUGGGAUCCUUAUGGGGUCCUUAUGGGGUUAUGGGGUCACUAUGGGGUCCCUAUGGGGUCCUUAUGGGGUUAUGGGGUCACUAUGGGGUCCCUAUGGGGUCCUUAUGGGGUUAUGGGGUCACUAUG
ensembl:lncRNA